UGGGGAAUUUUGGACAAUGGGGGAAACCCUGAUCCAGCCAUCCCGCGUGUGCGAUGAAGGCCUUCGGGUUGUAAAGCACUUUUGGCAGGAAAGAAACGUCAUGGGUUAAUACCCCGUGAAACUGACGGUACCUGCAGAAUAAGCACCGGCUAACUACGUGCCAGCAGCCGCGGUAAUACGUAGGGUGCAAGCGUUAAUCGGAAUUACUGGGCGUAAAGCGUGCGCAGGCGGUUCGGAAAGAAAGAUGUGAAAUCCCAGAGCUCAACUUUGGAACUGCAUUUUUAACUACCGGGCUAGAGUGUGUCAGAUGGAGGUGGAAUUCCGCGUGUAGCAGUGAAAUGCGUAGAUAUGCGGAGGAACACCGAUGGCGAAGGCAGCCUCCUGGGAUAACACUGACGCUCAUGCACGAAAGCGUGGGGAGCAAACAGG
rnacentral:rRNA from 1 species